UCUCUUAGACCUCAUUGAAGGGCUGACUGCCCCAGGGAAGGAUCUUUGGUUAGAGAUCCCUCCCUUAUGGAGUCUUUCCUGUGAGCUGUGAUCUUCAGAGAUGGUUGGGUCCUGGGCUGGGAGAAGAAUGGGGAGAUGCUUUUUGCCUGCCAGAGCCUGGAGGAUCUCCUUCUGCCACCCGCACCAUGCCUGCAGGGCCAUGGAUUUGCCACAGACAGCACAGUGGAGGAGGCAGAAUCCACAGUAGGAUUAGGCAAAAUUUCUUUUGGGAUAUGCUGGGCAUCUGCACUGUAUUUUAAAGCAAGCCUUCUGAACCAAAACAAUGACAUCUCUCCAUUUUGCAUUUUUUUUUAUCAUCUCCUUUAUAUUCUGAGUAAGUUCUAUAUUGUGGUCAAGCUUGCGUUCUCCGUGCUUGCUCCAUUGCAUUGCUCUCGGUUCAUCAUUUUGCUGUUCAGUAUGAAUGAAAGUGGCUUUCUGUUCGUGUGCCUCUGUGAGGGCUCAGUUUCACUGGGGAUGGCUUCUCUGCUGUUCUGAGCAUCUCAUUUACGUUGGGCAGAAAUAACCCUCAUAGUCAAGUUGGGUGUGCCCUGCCCACGGGGCGAUUUUUGUCUUUCUGGUUGGGUUGGCAUAUGACCCUUUGAUAGCUCUUAAAUUCACUCACUGGAAUAGUUUUCUGGGGAUAUAAUGUCCCCAGGAGCUCGUAAACACCUGCAGAGUUGGUAUGAGUUCCUGGGAGGGUACUGUGACAGCCUUCAUCCUCGUCAACGACCCGGAGCCAAGCAUGCGUUAAAUCAUCGCGUGGGUUCUGCAGGUGACACAGAUGGGUGCACGGGGACAAGUCAGUGUUUGCAGAAUGACCCGAGCUCCUCAGCAAUGAGGUCUGCAGGCAGCAGGUGCUUUAAUCUUGCUAAAUGCAAGGUGAUGCUUCUGGAAAGGAAACCGCUCAUACCUGUGAAGCAAAGGGCUGAACACUGCAGUGAGCAGAAAUGGAGACGGAUGUGAGGGAGCUGAAUGAAUGAGCCCAUGCGGCCCAUGAAGAUGCUGGCUGGUAAUGAGCACUUACAGUAAGACUUGGGCAAAAAUAAUAGUGGUUUCAUACGGAACGUUUCACAGCUAAUUUGAUGUAUUGGCAACACCAUAUUAAUCCGUUCAGCCAAUAAAAUGAAGAGAAAUAAAUCG
rnacentral:lncRNA from 1 species